CUUUGUGGUUCAUGACUGGGGUGAAGUCGUAACAAGGUAGCGCUAGGGGAACCUGGCGCUGGAUCACCUCCUUAAACGAUGAU
rnacentral:rRNA from 1 species